rnacentral:rRNA from 1 species
UACGUAGGGUGCGAGCGUUAAUCGGAAUUACUGGGCGUAAAGCGUGCGCAGGCGGUUCGUUGUGUCGGCGGUGAAAGCCCCGGGCUUAACCUGGGAAUGGCCGUUGAAACUGGCGAACUGGAGUGUGGCAGAGGAGGGUGGAAUUCCGCGUGUAGCAGUGAAUGCGUAGAGAUGCGGAGGAACACCGAUGGCGAAGGCAGCCCCCUGGGCUAACACUGACGCUCAGGCACGAAAGCGUGGGGAGCAAACAGG